GCUUAUUCUCAGGGCGGGGCGAAAUUCCCCACCGGCGGUAUCCCGAUUGACUCGGGGAGCCCGCGAGCGCCCGGCCACAGGCCGGGGUCAGCAGAUCCGGUGAGAUGCCGGAGCCGACGGUCAUAGUCCGGAUGAAAGAGGAUAAGA
rnacentral:ncRNA from 2 species